rnacentral:lncRNA from 1 species
GGGAGCCCAGGCAGAGGAGGCGCCCAGAGCGAGCGAGGGCUGUGAGGACUGCCAGCACGCUGUCACCUCUCACUCAUAUAGAUUGCCAAUCUAUUUGUGAACCAGGUUUGCUGGAGUUUGGAUUUACUACUGAGUCAUAUUUGGAGCAUGCUGGAAUCUUACAACUGAGAUUACCGAGUCAGAAACUUGCAAACAUGAGUAACAUGGCCCUGCUCUGGAGACUACUGGGAACACAAACACAGCCAUUUAAGACAUCUACCUGCUUCUCCUUUGCCUUCCAUCAUGACUGAAAGUUGUCUGAGGUCUCCCAGCCACGUGUCCUGUACAGCCUGUGGAACUACUUUAAAGAAGAAUCAGAAAAUGGAGACUGGGAUUGGAAGCAGAGAUCCGAUGGCCAAAUUACAGUCUGCCACUGAAGCUAACACACCUAUGGAUAACCCAACCUGUAAACUCAAUGUGGAACACAGUUUGAGAAAAGAAGUGAGAAGAUUCAAUUUUGAAGUUGGAUCACUCUCCUACAGGCAAUGAAGACCACAUCACUGAUGGCUCUCCUGCAAUUCUAUUACCUGUUUGAAUGUGAAGAUGGGAUGAAGUAGCAAGAAGGACCUCACAAAAUACCUCCCCCACCACCCCAUCAUCUUGCACUUUCCAGUCUGCAGAACUGUGAGAA